AGUCUAGAGGAAGCAUUUCUGCACACACCAGACUAUUGAAAUCAGCGUGUGGAAAUGCUUUCGCUACAUU
rnacentral:pre_miRNA from 12 species